rnacentral:rRNA from 13 species
GAGUAAUGUCUGGGAAACUGCCUGAUGGAGGGGGAUAACUACUGGAAACGGUGGCUAAUACCGCAUAACGUCGCAAGACCAAAGAGGGGGACCUUCGGGCCUCUUGCCAUCAGAUGUGCCCAGAUGGGAUUAGCUUGUUGGUGAGGUAACGGCUCACCAAGGCGACGAUCCCUAGCUGGUCUGAGAGGAUGACCAGCCACACUGGAACUGAGACACGGUCCAGACUCCUACGGGAGGCAGCAGUGGGGAAUAUUGCACAAUGGGCGCAAGCCUGAUGCAGCCAUGCCGCGUGUAUGAAGAAGGCCUUCGGGUUGUAAAGUACUUUCAGCGGGGAGGAAGGUGUUGUGGUUAAUAACCGCAGCAAUUGACGUUACCCGCAGAAGAAGCACCGGCUAACUCCGUGCCAGCAGCCGCGGUAAUACGGAGGGUGCAAGCGUUAAUCGGAAUUACUGGGCGUAAAGCGCACGCAGGCGGUCUGUCAAGUCGGAUGUGAAAUCCCCGGGCUCAACCUGGGAACUGCAUUCGAAACUGGCAGGCUUGAGUCUUGUAGAGGGGGGUAGAAUUCCAGGUGUAGCGGUGAAAUGCGUAGAGAUCUGGAGGAAUACCGGUGGCGAAGGCGGCCCCCUGGACAAAGACUGACGCUCAGGUGCGAAAGCGUGGGGAGCAAACAGGAUUAGAUACCCUGGUAGUCCACGCCGUAAACGAUGUCUACUUGGAGGUUGUGCCCUUGAGGCGUGGCUUCCGGAGCUAACGCGUUAAGUAGACCGCCUGGGGAGUACGGCCGCAAGGUUAAAACUCAAAUGAAUUGACGGGGGCCCGCACAAGCGGUGGAGCAUGUGGUUUAAUUCGAUGCAACGCGAAGAACCUUACCUGGUCUUGACAUCCACAGAACUUUCCAGAGAUGGAUUGGUGCCUUCGGGAACUGUGAGACAGGUGCUGCAUGGCUGUCGUCAGCUCGUGUUGUGAAAUGUUGGGUUAAGUCCCGCAACGAGCGCAAC